CCUCCCCUCUUCUUUCCUCGUUUCCUCUUCUCCGGGCGGACCUAGGGUUGUCGCCGCUGCCGCCGCCGCCGCCGUCCGCACAUCCCAGGCUCCCAGCUCCCCCGGCGCCCGCUCCUCCAUCGAGAGGACAGGAACAUGAUGGCGGCGGCUGGUGGAGAGGGGGCGUCCGGGUCAAUGAGAUGUUGCGGUGCGAGGUGAAUCGGCGGCAAGCCCGGCGCCAGCGCUACGCGCCGCCUCUCCGACUCCUCACUCCGUCCUCGUCCACGGUGGCCGCCGCCGCCCUCACCUGCGCUCGUGCCCUCUUCAUCUCCGGCCGCGAGCUCCACCUCGUCCAGCCUCAUCUCCCCAGAUCUUCUUGGUUUUGGUCCGGGAGCAUACGGGUGCGGAUCAAAGCGUUGAUGGACAGGUUCGUGAAGGAGCUGCAGAAGGCGCUGGACGCGCACAUCCAGGAUUGCAUCAUGAAGGAGCGGGAGAUGCCAGCUACAUCAGGAGCGCAAACGCGAGGUCGCCGAGAGGGAGGCCGUUUGGAAGGCCGAGCUCUCCCGCCGCGAGGAGGUUGCUCUGAGGAGAACAGAAUGGAGUUGCACCAGCCAAAAUGCUCAAUUGGACACAUGCUUCCAAACGUGUAAACAAUAGUUAUAUGACCCUCGGUCGGUAUCACGAUCGUGAAUCCUCUCCUGGCCGCUAUUUCAAUUUUUUUUUACAAAAGUCUUCGAACCUUUUUGUGAGAAGGAUGAUUACGAGGUCGUCCGGAAAGUAGGGAGUGGGAAAUACAGUGAAGUCAUAAGAGCGUUUAAAUCACUAAGGUAGUGAUCUAAACACUUAUAUUUCUUUACAGCAGGUAGUAGUCGCCGGCUCACAAACACAAAGUAAUGCGACUUACUUACUCAUCUGCUUCUUACUCCAAACUAUUGGGACUCACUAAAGAAUUUGCAGCGGCAACAUAUAUGGUGAUAUCCAACGAAGCUUGUUUGGCUGUCUGUUCUCGAUUAAUGCAGAGGUCCGAAGCCGAACUCAUUCAUGGUUCUAUCUUUUAGAUACAUGACAGAGAAUCAACAAAUUCACUUCGAUCUGUCUGAUGCAGAGUGUACUGAAAGUUACUUUUGACUGGUAGACUGUUGAAUAUAUGUGCAAAUACAUAUUUAUAUUGUGUAUUUUAUUGCUUAAUAUAGUAAGAACCAGAUAUUGUUACUGUCUUUUUUUUUGCGGGGGCGAUAUUGUUACUGUCUGCCCACUAAGAUCUCUAAACCACACCUUGUUGAUGCAUGUGAAGUUACAUGUGUUAUAUCUUCUUACUUGCAUGCUUGUUGGUUGUGUCAGCAAGCUUUAUUCAACUUCUUUGAAAUGUCAUAGGAUAAUUGCCAUGAUUUAGCUUUAGAUUCCCACAUGUUUCUUGAUCCGAGAGUAUGCUCAUGUGGUAGUUAAUUAUUUGGUUCCAUGACAAGGAAUAUGGAGAUCAAGUUGCACACUAUCAAGAAGGCUUCUCCAGAGGUAUUCUACAAGUUAUCAGAAUAGAUCCUCUUCAUUCCCUGUACCUUGCAGCAUCUCCAUCUAAGGCCGGAGUUCUGCACCUACCUACCUAUUGGUGUAAUAAAUUCCAACUAUGGAACUAAGCAUCAAUUUAUGUCCUACACAUAGUGUUGGCAGUGUGUCAUUAGUGCUUAUGUUAAUUGUUGGGUAGAUGUUCAGUACUGCCUCUGUAUUUUGGUUCUGCAAGUCUUUAGACCUCUUAUCUUUGCUAUAUGACUAGAUUCAAGGAGAAUUUUCUAAAAAAUUAGAUAGAGUGGGUAUAUAUCUGAUACACAGGAUGACGCUGACAGUUUUCAAACACCAGUAGGUUAUUAGCAAUCCUUUGUCUAGGGUACAAAUUUCGCCACUGGCAAGUCUGACCGUUUUUCCUUUUCUUUUCCUUCCAACUGAUGUCUGUUGUAAUAAAAGAUACUACACAUUAUGGAUUUGUGUGAAAGUGAGUUGUUGCUUUUCUCCCUGUUGUUUACCCCAACAAGGGUGAG